GGCAUGAACUUGUGCAAGCUUUGAACAUACUACCAUAGUUUCUGUGAGUUCAUAUGUGCAUUAUUGCCUUUGUGUCUGGAAGAUACUAUCUGUUUGAAAUCAUUUGCCAUCUCUAUACAUUGUGAACUCUUUCCAUUUUACCUUUUUUCUUUACUGACUUUAAAUGAAAGUUGUUCCGAAUGUUUCUGUACUCACUAAUCUAUGUAUAUACCACAAAAGCUCUCUGUGUUGAUAGCCCAACCCUCAAUGUUAUGGUAUUACUAAUGAAAAGUACUUAGGACAUGUUCAACUGAUGAAGUCCUAAGGGUAGAAAUUCCAUGGUAGGAUUGGUAUCAUCAAAAAAAGGGGGGCAAUAUGAAAGCCUUCUCUCUUCUCACAUACAAACACCAAGGGAAGCCCAUGUUAACAAAGUAGCUGUCGGUAAGCUAAGCAUAUCCCCAACCCUUGAGCACCAAGUCUGCUAAAACCUUGGUGUUGAAUUUCCUAGCCUCUAGAACUCUGAACACUGCUGAUUGUUCCUGUUGUUUUUUCUUCCUAUGACAAAUGCUGCUUCCUAAUCUCACUCCUCUUCCCCAACGUCAUCCUGUUGUCAGCCAUCUUUAUCACCAUGUUGGACUUCUGUAAUUUUCAAAUAUUUCUAUAAUAAUCUCUGGGCAUCUUAUAAUCACAUGUGCCUCAGUUUAUCCAUCUCUAAUAUCUGGAUAGCAAGAAAAUAUAUUGGGAACUAGAUAAGAUACUGAAUUGUUAGUGAUCAGUAUACUGAUUAACAUAUAAGAAGUUUUCAAACACUUAAAUUU
rnacentral:lncRNA from 1 species